rnacentral:rRNA from 1 species
UUACCUGGUUGAUCCUGCCAGUAGUCAUAUGCUCGUCUCAAAGAUUAAGCCAUGCAUGUCUAAGUACAGACUGAAUCUAAAGUGAAACCGCGAAUGGCUCAUUAAAUCAGUUAUGGUUCAUUGGAUCUCACCAUGUCCUACAUGGAUAACUGUGGUAAUUCUAGAGCUAAUACAUGCCUCCGAAGCUCCGACCGCAAGGGAAGAGCGCUUUUGUUAGAUCAAAACCGAUCGGGCCUCGGUCCGUAACCUCACUGUGGUGAAUCUGAGCAACUUUGUGCUGAGCGCACGGCCUUUGUGCCGGCGCCGUAUCCUUCGAGUGUCUGCCUUAUCAGCUUUCGACGGUAGGUUAUGCGCCUACCGUGGCUAUAACGGGUGACGGGGAAUCAGGGUUCGAUUCCGGAGAGGGAGCCUGAGAAACGGCUACCACAUCUAAGGAAGGCAGCAGGCACGCAAAUUACCCACUCCCGGCUCGGGGAGGUAGUGACGAAAAAUAACGAUGCGGGACUCAUCCGAGGCCUCGCAAUCGGAAUGAGCACACUUUAAAUCCUUUAGCGAGGAUCUAUUGGAGGGCAAGUCUGGUGCCAGCAGCCGCGGUAAUUCCAGCUCCAAUAGCGUAUAUUAAAGUUGCUGCGGUUAAAAAGCUCGUAGUUGGAUCUCAGUUCAGGACCGAUGGUCCGCCGCACGGCGCUUGACUCGUCGGAUUCCGAACAAAAUCUCGUCGGCUCGGCUGGGAUGCUCUUCAUCGGGUGUCCCGGGUCGGUCGGCAAGUUUACUUUGAAAAAAUUAGAGUGCUUAGAGCAGGCCGCGCGCCUGAAUAGCUGCGCAUGGAAUAAUGGAAUAGGACCUCGGUUCUAUUUUGUUGGUUUUCGGAACCCGAGGUAAUGAUUAAUAGGAACUGCCCGGGGGCAUUCGUAUUGCGACGCUAGAGGUGAAAUUCUUGGACCGUCGCAAGACGAACGACUGCGAAAGCUUUUGCCAAGAAUUUUGCGAAAAGCAUUUCCCAAGAAUGUUUUCAUUGAUCAAGAACGAAAGUUAGAGGUUCGAAGGCGAUCAGAUACCGCCCUAGUUCUAACCAUAAACGAUGCCAACCAGCGAUCCGCCGGCGUUAUUUCCAUGACUCGGCGGGCAGCUUCCGGGAAACCAAAGUCUUUGGGUUCCGGGGGAAGUAUGGUUGCAAAGCUGAAACUUAAAGGAAUUGACGGAAGGGCACCACCAGGAGUGGAGCCUGCGGCUUAAUUUGACUCAACACGGGGAACCUCACCAGGCCCGGACACCGGAAGGAUUGACAGAUUGAGAGCUCUUUCUCGAUUCGGUGGGUGGUGGUGCAUGGCCGUUCUUAGUUGGUGGAGCGAUUUGUCUGGUUAAUUCCGAUAACGAACGAGACUCUGGCCUACUAACUAGUCGAUGGAUCUUACCCCCUCGUGGGGCGUCCAUCGCAUCUUCUUAGAGGGAUAAGCGGCGUCUAGCCGCACGAGAUUGAGCAAUAACAGGUCUGUGAUGCCCUUAGAUGCCCUGGGCCGCACGCGCGCUACACUGAAGGGAUCAGCGUGUCCUCCCUCGCCGAGAGGCGCGGGAAACCCGUUGAAACCCCUUCGUGAUAGGGAUUGGGGCUUGAAAUUUUUCCCCAUGAACGAGGAAUUCCCAGUAAGCGCAAGUCAUCAGCUUGCGUUGAUUACGUCCCUGCCCUUUGUACACACCGCCCGUCGCUACUACCGAUUGAACGAUUUAGUGAGGACUUCAGACUGGCUCUCUCUAUGGGUUUCCGGGUCACCGAGGGCUGACGGAAAAGAUGUCCAAACUUUGAUCGUUUAGAGGAAGUAAAAGUCGUAACAAGGUUUCCGU